rnacentral:rRNA from 1 species
UCGGACGGGUGAGUAACGCGUGAGAAUCUGCCUUUAGGUUCGGGACAACCACUGGAAACGGUGGCUAACACCGGAUGUGCUGAAAAGUAAAAAAUUAAUUGCCUAAAGAUGAGCUCGCGUCUGAUUAGCUAGUUGGUGGGGUAAGAGCCUACCAAGGCGACGAUCAGUAACUGGUCUGAGAGGAUGACCAGUCACACUGGGACUGAGACACGGCCCAGACUCCUACGGGAGGCAGCAGUGGGGAAUUUUCCGCAACGGGCUCAAGCCUGACGGAGCAAUACCGCGUGGGGGAGGAAGGUUCUAGGAUUGUAAACCCCCUUUCUCAGGGAAGAACAAAAUGACGGUACCUGAGGAAUCAGCAUCGGCUAACUCCAUGCCAGCAGCCGCGGUAAUACGGAGGAUGCAAGCGUUAUCCGGAAUGAUUGGGCGUAAAGCGUCCGCAGGUGGCAGUUCAAGUCUGCUGUUAAGUACUAGGGCUCAACCCUGGAGCGGCAGUGGAAACUGAAGAGCUAGAGUUCGGUAGGGGUAGAGGGAAUUCCCAGUGUAGCGGUGAAAUGCGUAGAGAUUGGGAAGAACACCGGUGGCGAAAGCGCUCUGCUAGGCCGAAACUGACACUCAUGGACGAAAGCUAGGGGAGCGAAUGGGAUUAGAUACCCCAGUAGUC